rnacentral:lncRNA from 1 species
UAGUGGUAGGCAUACAUUACCAGUAAGGAACAACUUUAGAAAGCUUUAAGAUCUUCUCAAUAAGGAAGACAAUAUGACUGGUACUGGAAACCUAACCAAAUAUCAAGGGCUACUGAAGUCAUAGAAUUUUUAGGGGAAUCUAGAAUUGCUAAUUUAUGAAAUCAUCAAAUCCCCAACUACAGCCUAAAUAAUUGUGUAGCCCCAUAUCAAAGAGCUUAUCUAUAUACAACUCCUCCAGUUAAGGCCCGGGGCUCAUUACAGAAGAAGAGAUGUAGCAGUUAUAAGAGAACUGGCCUUGAAUUUGGCCAGCACCAUCCAUUAUGAGUUCAUCUUCGUAGAAUGUGUGUGGUGAAGUAGACCAGCUCACAUAGGAACAACCAGGAAUCAUGUGGGAAUAAAAGCCACACCAUGGAAUUCUCUUUGUAUUACAUUUCGGAGCCAAUGUGCGGGGCAGAUGCUGCUGAACACGAAACUCAUCUUUUCCUCCUCCUGUGGCCACCUGCUUCCUGUCUCAGCAUUUACACCUACCUCACAGUCCAGCUGCUUCCUCUGCUGUUGGCUCCACAGCUCCCUCAGUAAAGGCACAAGUGCUGUGUGAGCAGUGACCCCUUGCCACUUCCCUGUCAUGGUCCAGCUGCCUUUUAACCUGAGCACUGACGUUAACAGAUUCCUCUUACAUUUAGGAUGUCAGCCUGUGACCAUUCUUCACUACUGUCCUUGUCCAUUUGCCUUGUCUCCUGCUUCUUCUGUUCAAAGCUCAGAGACUCUUCAACAUGUCUCAAAUACCUCGUGGUUGAACUGCAGAAAGAGUGUUGCACGACUACUUAGAUUUUGCUCAUUCUCUCUCUAAAUGGCAGGGAAAUCGCCCUAAGGGGAAGAUGAAAUAAAUAAAUGCUUCUAGAUGCAUUUAACUAUGUUGGUCAACAAAGCUCCAAAGAAAUAAAAAAAAUGUGUCCAUGUUAUGUUAAAUUGAGACACAGUGGUUAUCUGUAAGCAGGUCUAGAAGACAGGUAUAAUAAGAAAUAGUUAGCACUAUAACAUCUCAGAAAUUG